CUGCAACGGCCCCCCGGUGCUUCCGGCGCUGGCGGGCGGCUGCCCCUCGCCCCACGGCUGUGGUCGGGCUGCAGGGUGGCGCUGGGUGGGACCACGCACCGUUAUCUCCUAGGCAGCUACGGCUCUUCCUGUGGUCGGGGCCACGUGGGCAGGAUGGGGUUAAAAGCAGCCCCGCUCCCCACGGCGGCCCAUUGCUCCUCCGGACACCAGCACCCCAUAGAGCACCUGCGGCACCGGCACCGGCGUGGGCCACCUGCGCCCUGACUUGGUAACGUACAGAGGGACGUGGCCAGCGGUGGGUGCCCACGUGGAGCAGCGGGGGCCUGGAGGGUCCUGGCAGCCACAGUCCCACCCGAUGCCAGGGGGGCGGCGGGCACUAAAGACGUCCUGUGGGUAAGGGGUCCCCCCCUCCCCCCCAGGGCGGAGUGGAGAGGAGGCACCACGGUGGCGGAUGGGAGGGAGGAGGUGGGAAGAGGCUGAAGCAGAAGUGCCGCUGAGGGGGAUUUCGGUGGCAGCAGGAUGGGAGGCGUUGGAUGCAGAGCUGUGUGGCAGGGACUUUGGUAGGGCAGUCCCUGUGAUGGGGACAGGGUUUGCCAUGAGGUCCCCACUAUGAGGACAAGGCAAAGGAGCCUUCUGCGACCACAGUGGCGUUUAGACAGGGUCUUCACCACAGGGACAAGGCAAGGCAAAGGGUGCCUGGCCAUGGAGGUGGAAUUUUCCAUAGGCUCCUCACCACGGGUACAGUGCAAAAUGUCCCCUGUGACCAGAGGACACUGAGGUGGCAUCUCUGCAUGUGGAUGAGGCUAGGGGGUCGUAUGUGACUUUGAUGAGCUUUGAGGGACAAUGAGGGAAUUAAGGUGGGAUCUCACCCUUGGGAUCAAGAUUAAGUGGUCCUCUGUGGCUCAAAGGGGGCUUGAAGGCCAACAAUGAAGUUUGAGGUGAAAUGUACACCAACAAGGGGUUAAUGGGGGGGGGGGAGGGGCUCCUGGUCUUCCACAUGGGGGUAAGGCAAAGAAGACCAGGGUGGGGGUCUGAGAGAGCAUAAUGAGAUUUGAGGGGGUUCUCUCCAGCAGAAAGAAGACAAGAAGGUUCUCUGUGACUGGGAUGGGGUCCGAGGUGGGGUCUGUCCUUUGGGGACAAGGUGACAAUAUCCCCUGUGCUCAGCAAAGAGCUUGAGAGGGAAUGAUGGCUUGCAAAGUAGGGUGUCCCCCAUAGGGACAAGCAAGGCCAGGCUGCCCCUUGUGCCCAGAAUGGGGUCUUAGAGUUACAAGGCAAGAUCUCCCCACUGGGGGUGAGGCGGGGAUGUCCCCUGUGCCCCACUCGGCUCCUCAGGGUGGGAGGUGACGCCGGCAGGGGCUGUCCAUCCCUUCGUGCCCCCGGCUACGCCGCCCACAAAGACGUCCCGCGGCCGGGCGCGGGUAGAGGAAAAUGCAUCGCCAGAGGAGAGCAACCGCCGACACCGACUGAGAGACAGUGCAGUCACCCAUAAAGUAGAAAGCACUACUAAACAGCACUGCAGGGUGUAGUGUUUCCUACUUUAUGGAUGAGUGUACUGUGGGCUACGGAGAAGAGAACGCCGACAGCAACCUCUGUGCCAGCCACCGUCAUGGAGCUGAGGAUGGGAUGGCACCAUCCCCGCUGCACAGCGGGGAGCAGGGGACCGCCUGGCACUGUCCCCAUCGUCUGCUCUGGGGGGUAGGAGUUCUGAGGGGGCUGCUGAGUGGCUUUGCACGGCCGCACGAUGACACAGGGGCUGCU
ensembl:lncRNA